rnacentral:rRNA from 1 species
GUGCCAGCAGCCGCGGUAAUACGUAGGUGGCAAGCGUUGUCCGGAUUUAUUGGGCGUAAAGCGAGCGCAGGCGGUUUUUAAGUCUGAUGUGAAAGCCUUCGGCUCAACCGAAGAAGUGCAUCGGAAACUGGGAAACUUGAGUGCAGAAGAGGACAGUGGAACUNCAUGUGUAGCGGUGAAAUGCGUAGAUAUAUGGAAGAACACCAGUGGCGAAGGCGGCUGUCUGGUCUGUAACUGACGCUGAGGCUCGAAAGUAUGGGUAGCAAACAGGAUUAGAUACCCUGGUAGUCCAUACCGUAAACGAUGAAUGCUAAGUGUUGGAGGGUUUCCGCCCUUCAGUGCUGCAGCUAACGCAUUAAGCAUUCCGCCUGGGGAGUACGGCCGCAAGGCUGAAACUCAAAGGAAUUGACGGGGGCCCGCACAAGCGGUGGAGCAUGUGGUUUAAUUCGAAGCUACGCGAAGAACCUUACCAGGUCUUGACAUACUAUGCAAAUCUAAGAGAUUAGACGUUCCCUUCGGGGACAUGGAUACAGGUGGUGCAUGGUUGUCGUCAGCUCGUGUCGUGAGAUGUUGGGUUAAGUCCCGCAACGAGCGCAACCCUUAUUAUCAGUUGCCAGCAUUAAGUUGGGCACUCUGGUGAGACUGCCGGUGACAAACCGGAGGAAGGUGGGGAUGACGUCAAAUCAUCAUGCCCCUUAUGACCUGGGCUACACACGUGCUACAAUGGAUGGUACAACGAGUUGCGAACUCGCGAGAGUAAGCUAAUCUCUUAAAGCCAUUCUCAGUUCGGAUUGUAGGCUGCAACUCGCCUACAUGAAGUCGGAAUCGCUAGUAAUCGCGGAUCAGCAUGCCGCGGUGAAUACGUUCCCGGGCCUUGUACACACCGCCCGU